rnacentral:rRNA from 13 species
UCUGGCGGCAGUAGCGCGGUGGUCCCACCUGACCCCAUGCCGAACUCAGAAGUGAAACGCCGUAGCGCCGAUGGUAGUGUGGGGUCUC